AGAGUUUGAUCCUGGCUCAGGAUGAACGCUGGCGGCGUGCUUAACACAUGCAAGUCGAACGAAGCACUUUAUUUGAUUUCUUCGGAAUGAAGAUUUUGUGACUGAGUGGCGGACGGGUGAGUAACGCGUGGGUAACCUGCCUCAUACAGGGGGAUAACAGUUAGAAAUGACUGCUAAUACCGCAUAAGCGCACAGUGCUGCAUGGCACAGUGUGAAAAACUCCGGUGGUAUGAGAUGGACCCGCGUCUGAUUAGCUAGUUGGUGGGGUAACGGCCUACCAAGGCGACGAUCAGUAGCCGGCCUGAGAGGGUGAACGGCCACAUUGGGACUGAGACACGGCCCAAACUCCUACGGGAGGCAGCAGUGGGGAAUAUUGCACAAUGGGGGAAACCCUGAUGCAGCGACGCCGCGUGAGUGAAGAAGUAUUUCGGUAUGUAAAGCUCUAUCAGCAGGGAAGAAAAUGACGGUACCUGACUAAGAAGCACCGGCUAAAUACGUGCCAGCAGCCGCGGUAAUACGUAUGGUGCAAGCGUUAUCCGGAUUUACUGGGUGUAAAGGGUGCGUAGGUGGUGAGACAAGUCUGAAGUGAAAAUCCGGGGCUUAACCCCGGAACUGCUUUGGAAACUGCCUGACUAGAGUACAGGAGAGGUAAGUGGAAUUCCUAGUGUAGCGGUGAAAUGCGUAGAUAUUAGGAGGAACACCAGUGGCGAAGGCGGCUUACUGGACGAUAACUGACGCUGAGGCUCGAAAGCGUGGGGAGCAAACAGGAUUAGAUACCCUGGUAGUCCACGCCGUAAACGAUGA
rnacentral:rRNA from 1 species